UUGGUCUAAUGUUUACUGAAGUCAGCAGAAAUCUUUCACUGAAUGUUUAAUGUCUUCCUCUCCCUGUCUUUCUGUGAUGCUUUAUGGUCACUGGCCCAGCUAAGGAAGAAUGCUCGAGAGUAAAAGCCCUUGGGAUGAGUAUUGAGGCAACAAGGAUCCAGAAAAAUUAAUCUGAAGAGUUACAUAGUUCAUAGCUUAAAUGUAAUCGUAGCCCUACAGUUAAGAGACAGUGUUAGCGUAAGUACUGUUGCAUCCAUGGUGGUUCAAAGGUAUAAGGGAAAUAAGGUUGUUUAAGUUCUAAAUCAACUUAACGUAUUUAUUCUUACUUUUAUUACACUUAUCCUCAUAGUCUGAACUGCAGGACAGAGUGCCCAAGAAUCUGAACACUGACCCAAUUCACCUUCAUAUUUCAUCGGUAAAGCAAUUGAAUUUUGAAGUUGUAAGUGCCAUCGUUUGAAUUUCUGGAAUUCUUUGCCUGAGACAUAACCUUCAUUAGAUAACACUGUCCUGAAUUUGCCUUAUUUUCCCACAAGACCGGAUAAUAAUAACCUAGAAUAGAGUCUGUAGGUGAGGAAGAGAAGCAGGAGGAGCACAUGAUACAAGAAAGGCUGUGUCCAGCUGCAGCCCACCCAGCUCCGGUCCAGGACGAGUAACGGUUGUCUUAGCAGCUUGCUCAUUGGGAAGAGCUCAACGCCGUAGCCUCUGAGUGUUUCUGGAGUGAUUUUGAUGCCUCUAAGACAAAUUAACUCAUGAACCUGGGUUGAAAAGUAGGGUUUAGUUCUAAAGAACAAAAUUCCUAAAAGGUCUUCAAGUUCUACAGCUACAGGAUUUUUAUUAAUGAAAUGAGCAGCACACAGGAGGUCUUCAGCUUGGCAGUCUUGUUCAAGAAUGUACAUCAUUUAUAUUCAGAUGCUCCAUGUUCAAAUGUAUGUCAUUGACUACUUAGGUACUGGUGACCAGCUACCAGAAAGGUGGAAAGAAGAUGCGAGAUGUUUGUGGAUCAACUAAUUACUAGUGAAUCCAUCUCCAGUAAGACAAACAUGAUUUCUGUGAGGUCCUGGGGACGAAUGCCAGGCAAUGUAUCCCGCGGACAGUCCUGCUCCUCCCUGAGCACACGACAGGGUGGCUGGACUUUGCUGCUGCGAAGUGUAGACCUGACAUCUCCUGCUCCUUCUGGUGACGAGCCACUUGGGAACAUGCGGCUCUCGCCAUUUGUGGUGGCCAGGGUUGGACAGCCAAUUUGUGAAUACAGGUGGCUGCACUCUUAAGUGCAUAGACAUAUUUCUUUUGCCUUCUGCACGUGUAAGCUUCUCAGUGGGAGCUGCCCUCUGGAGACUUCUUUAAAUUGCCUCUGGUGAUUUAUAUGCAAUCAUUUAUAACCACUGUGGGUGCCUCCAAGGCUGUCAUCUGAUCUCUCUCUUGCUCCUGUCCGCUGCUUCCCCAAGUAUUACCAGUGUGCCCCAGAGAGUAACUAGAAUUACCGCCAUUGCCCUGUCAGACUCUGCGGGUUGUUCAUACAGUCAAAUAUCAACCACGCUGUUUGCUGAAGGAUGCCCCCAUCCAGGAAACUCGGGAUGCACGCAGUGACUGACCUUCGCUUCCUGGUACUGUUCAGUUAUGUGGAUGGUGUAUGUAAGCUUGGCCAACCUCGUGACCGUGGCACCCAGAGGACAAUUAAACCAGGUUCUCAGCUCCUGCUGGCCUCCACGGCAUUGCUGUCGCUCCAGAUUCCGCGACAGCCUGCCUUGAGCCUCCUGAAAGCUGCUUCCCAGGUGCAAAUGCAAGAAGGAUGAUGACGAUGAUAAACUUCAGCAAAUCCAGCAGGGGUUGGGACAGGUUGCCCAGAGAGGCUGUGGAUCCGCUACCCCCAGAGGUUUUAGCACCCAACUUGUAAAAGCCCUGAGCGCCCCAAUGUGCAACCUUGCUUUAGGAAAAACUUGGACUAGAGACCUCCCACGGACACUCCAGCCACGCAGCCACUGGCAGAGGCCUGAGAAGCCUUGUGCAAGCACCUCCAUCACAACUACAAACACCUGAACUCCUCGGCAGACUCCUCGGCAGCUGGGCCCAGGGUGCCAGUUUGGCAUUCCGCUCUCCGCUCCAUUGAGCUAGCUCCAAGGUGGGACGCUUCUGUUUUCUUCCUCUUUUCCUCUCUGAGCCAGGAAUAGUUCUAAGAGCAGAAGGCAGUUUCAGUCUGGAUCAACUGCUGAUGAUCUGGAUCGUAUGAUGCCGAUCCCAGAGAGAAGCCCAAGAUGAACAUUUCUGUCUUUUUUUCUGGGUCUUCUGCUGCACAUAAAAAUUCAGGUGUUUGAGGUUCUUUUGGAAACUCCGAAAGGCUCCUCCCUCCUUUGCCUUUGCAAACGUGGAUUUUGAUCACAGGCCACGGCUGGUGUGAACAGCAGCGCUCACCACACACGUCAGGUACAACAUGGCAGCCGUUGCAAUAAUUAAAACAUGCAUCAGUCACACGUGGUAUACAGAAUCACACCUGAUAUUUCUGAACUCUAAUUAGGUUUUGGGACUUCUGCAAAGCUUGGGAACACGUUACGCUCAUUUACGUUGCAAGACUGAACUGCGUUAGGAUACUGCUAUGUUGAAACAAUGUUUUCCAAAAUAGUUGACUUAAAAUAGGUCUGACUUCAAAGGAUCUACAAAUUUCUCUUCUAAAUGUUUG